rnacentral:rRNA from 1 species
GAGGAGCUUGCCUCUCUGGAUGAGUUGCGAACGGGUGAGUAACGCGUAGGUAACCUGCCUGGUAGCGGGGGAUAACUAUUGGAAACGAUAGCUAAUACCGCAUAACAGUAGAUGUUGCAUGACAUUUGCUUAAAAGGUGCAAUUGCAUCACUACCAGAUGGACCUGCGUUGUAUUAGCUAGUUGGUGGGGUAACGGCUCACCAAGGCGACGAUACAUAGCCGACCUGAGAGGGUGAUCGGCCACACUGGGACUGAGACACGGCCCAGACUCCUACGGGAGGCAGCAGUAGGGAAUCUUCGGCAAUGGACGGAAGUCUGACCGAGCAACGCCGCGUGAGUGAAGAAGGUUUUCGGAUCGUAAAGCUCUGUUGUAAGAGAAGAACAGGUGUGAGAGUGGAAAGUUCACACUGUGACGGUAUCUUACCAGAAAGGGACGGCUAACUACGUGCCAGCAGCCGCGGUAAUACGUAGGUCCCGAGCGUUGUCCGGAUUUAUUGGGCGUAAAGCGAGCGCAGGCGGUUAGAUAAGUCUGAAGUUAAAGGCUGUGGCUUAACCAUAGUACGCCUUGGAAACUGUUUAACUUGAGUGCAAGAGGGGAGAGUGGAAUUCCAUGUGUAGCGGUGAAAUGCGUAGAUAUAUGGAGGAACACCGGUGGCGAAAGCGGCUCUCUGGCUUGUAACUGACGCUGAGGCUCGAAAGCGUGGGGAGCAAACAGGAUUAGAUACCCUGAUAGUCCACGCCGUANACGAUGAGUGCUAGGUGUUAGACCCUUUCCGGGGUUUAGUGCCGCAGCUAACGCAUUAAGCACUC